UUGGUUAAGCUACUAAGAGCACACGGAGGAUGCCUAGGCGCCAGGAGCCGACGAAGGACGUGGCGAACAACGAAAAGGCCUCGGGGAGCUGUAAGCAAGCUUUGAUCCGGGGGUGUCCGAAUGGGGAAACCCGGCUGUGGUAAUGCACAGUCACUUCCAUCUGAAUACAUAGGAUGGAUAGAGGCAGACCAGGGGAACUGAAACAUCUAAGUACCCUGAGGAAGAGAAAACAAGAGUGAUUCCGUCAGUAGCGGCGAGCGAACGCGGAACAGCCUAAACCGAAGAGCUUGCUCUUCGGGGUUGUGGGACGUCUUACACGGAGUUACAAAGGAAUAGGGUAAACGAAGAGGUCUGGAAAGGCCCGCCAGAGAAGGUAACAGCCCUGUAAUUGAAAGUCUAUUCCCUCCAAGACGGAUCCCGAGUAGUGCGGGGCACGUGAAACCCCGUAUGAAUCCGGCAGGACCAUCUGCCAAGGCUAAAUACUCCCUGGCGACCGAUAGUGAAACAGUACCGUGAGGGAAAGGUGAAAAGCACCCCGGAAGGGGAGUGAAACAGUGCCUGAAACCGUGUGCUUACAAGAAGUCAGAGCCCAUUUUAGGGGUGAUGGCGUGCCUUUUGUAGAAUGAACCGGCGAGUUACGUUUAACGUGCAAGGUUAAGGCGAGGAGCCGGAGCCGCAGCGAAAGCGAGUCUGAAUAGGGCGCUUAAGUACGUGGGCGUAGACCCGAAACCGGGUGAUCUACCCCUGUCCAGGGUGAAGGUGCGGUAACACGCACUGGAGGCCCGAACCCACGAACGUUGAAAAGUUCGGGGAUGAGGUGGGGGUAGCGGAGAAAUUCCAAUCGAACUCGGAGAUAGCUGGUUCUCCCCGAAAUAGCUUUAGGGCUAGCCUCGGUGAAUAAGAGUAAUGGAGGUAGAGCACUGAUUGGGUGCGGGGCCCGCAAGGGUUACCAAGCUCAGUCAAACUCCGAAUGCCAUCUACUUGUCGCCGGGAGUCAGACAGUGAGUGCUAAGAUCCAUUGUCAAAAGGGAAACAGCCCAGACCAUCAGCUAAGGUCCCCAAGUGUGUGUUAAGUGGGAAAGGAUGUGGAGUUGCACAGACAACCAGGAUGUUGGCUUAGAAGCAGCCACCAUUGAAAGAGUGCGUAAUAGCUCACUGGUCGAGUGACUCUGCGCCGAAAAUGUAACGGGGCUAAACACACCACCGAAGCUAUGGCUUGAUGCUUGCAUCAGGGGUAGGGGAGCGUUGUAUGCGGGUUGAAGGUUGACUGUAAGGACAGCUGGACUGCAUACAAGUGAGAAUGCCGGUAUGAGUAACGAAAAGAUCAGUGAGAAUCUGAUCCGCCGAAAGCCCAAGGUUUCCUGAGGAAGGCUCGUCCGCUCAGGGUCAGUCGGGACCUAAGGCGAGGCCGACAGGCGUAGUCGAAGGACAACAGGUUGAUAUUCCUGUACCACCAUAAUCCGUUAUGAGCAAUGGGGGGACGCAGGAGGGUAGUGACGCGGACUGAUGGAUGUCCGUCCAAGCAGUGAGGCUGAUGUGUAGGCAAAUCCGCGCAUCGCAAGGCCAGGCUGUGAUGGGGAGCGAAAACUAUAGUAGCGAAGGUCAUGAUCUCACACUGCCAAGAAAAGCCUCUAGCCAGGAGAAGGUGCCCGUACCGCAAACCGACACAGGUAGGCGAGAAGAGAAUUCUAAGGCGCGCGGAAGAACUCUCGUUAAGGAACUCGGCAAAAUGACCCCGUAACUUCGGGAGAAGGGGUGCCUCGGUAGGGUGAAUAGCCCGAGGGGGCCGCAGUGAAAAGGCCCAAGCGACUGUUUAGCAAAAACACAGGUCUGUGCGAAGCCGCAAGGCGAAGUAUACGGGCUGACGCCUGCCCGGUGCUGGAAGGUUAAGGGGAGCGGUUAGGGGUAACCCGAAGCUGUGAACCGAAGCCCCAGUAAACGGCGGCCGUAACUAUAACGGUCCUAAGGUAGCGAAAUUCCUUGUCAGGUAAAUUCUGACCCGCACGAAUGGCGUAACGACUUGGGCGCUGUCUCAACGAGAGAUCCGGUGAAAUUUUAAUACCUGUGAAGAUGCAGGUUACCCGCGACAAGACGGAAAGACCCCAUGGAGCUUUACUGCAGCUUGAUAUUGAACUUGGGUACGAUCUGUACAGGAUAGGUGGGAGCCUUGGAAGCCGGAGCGCCAGCUUCGGUGGAGGCGCCGUUGGGAUACCACCCUGAUCGUAUCUAGGUUCUAACCUGGUACCCUAAGCGGGUACGGGGACCGUGUCAGGCGGGCAGUUUGACUGGGGCGGUCGCCUCCUAAAGAGUAACGGAGGCGUCCCAAGGUUCCCUCAGAAUGGUUGGAAAUCAUUCGAAGAGUGCAAAGGCAGAAGGGAGCUUGACUGCGAGACCUACAAGUCGAGCAGGGACGAAAGUCGGGCUUAGUGAUCCGGUGGUACCGCAUGGAAGGGCCAUCGCUCAACGGAUAAAAGCUACCCUGGGGAUAACAGGCUUAUCUCCCCCAAGAGUCCACAUCGACGGGGAGGUUUGGCACCUCGAUGUCGGCUCAUCGCAUCCUGGGGCUGAAGUAGGUCCCAAGGGUUGGGCUGUUCGCCCAUUAAAGCGGUACGCGAGCUGGGUUCAGAACGUCGUGAGACAGUUCGGUCCCUAUCUGUCGUGGGCGUAGGAAAUUUGAGAGGAGCUGUCCUUAGUACGAGAGGACCGGGAUGGACGUACCGCUGGUGCACCAGUUGUUCCGCCAGGAGCAUGGCUGGGUAGCUACGUACGGACGGGAUAAGCGCUGAAAGCAUCUAAGCGUGAAGCCCCCCUCAAGAUGAGAUUUCCCAAUAUGUAAGACCCCUUGAAGACGACGAGGUAGAUAGGUUGGAGGUGGAAGCACGGCAACGUGUGGAGCUGACCAAUACUAAUCGGUCGAGGGCUUAUCCAAAUU
rnacentral:rRNA from 1 species